AUUGAACGCUGGCGGCAUGCCUUACACAUGCAAGUCGAACGGUAACAGGUCUUCGGAUGCUGACGAGUGGCGAACGGGUGAGUAAUACAUCGGAACGUGCCCGAGAGUGGGGGAUAACGAAGCGAAAGCUUUGCUAAUACCGCAUACGAUCUCAGGAUGAAAGCAGGGGGCCGCAAGGCCUUGCGCUCACGGAGCGGCCGAUGGCAGAUUAGGUAGUUGGUGGGAUAAAAGCUUACCAAGCCGACGAUCUGUAGCUGGUCUGAGAGGACGACCAGCCACACUGGGACGAAGACACGGCCCAGACUCCUACGGGAGGCAGCAGGGGGGAAUUUUGGACAAUGGGCGCAAGCCUGAUCCAGCCAUGCCGCGUGCAGGAUGAAGGCCUUCGGGUUGUAAACUGCUUUUGUACGGAACGAAAAGACUCCUUCUAAUAAAGGGGGUCCAUGACGGUACCGUAAGAAUAAGCACCGGCUAACUACGUGCCAGCAGCCGCGUAAUAC
rnacentral:rRNA from 1 species